CCCGCCUCGGCUCCGCGCCCUCGCCCCGCUCUCAGCCGCCGCUCUGCCCCGCAGCAGCCAGCCCCGUGUCCGGCAGUAUGUUCAGCUGGGUCAGCAAGGAUGCCCGCCGCAAGAAGGAGCCGGAGCUCUUCCAGACGGUGGCUGAGGGGCUGCGGCAGCUGUACGCGCAGAAGCUGCUGCCCCUGGAGGAGCACUACCGCUUCCACGAGUUCCACUCGCCCGCCCUGGAGGACGCUGACUUCGACAACAAGCCCAUGGUGCUCCUCGUGGGGCAGUACAGCACGGGCAAGACCACCUUCAUCCGACACCUGAUCGAGCAGGACUUCCCGGGGAUGCGCAUCGGGCCCGAGCCCACCACCGACUCCUUCAUCGCCGUCAUGCACGGCCCCACUGAGGGCGUGGUGCCGGGUAACGCGCUCGUGGUGGACCCGCGGCGCCCCUUCCGCAAGCUCAACGCCUUUGGCAACGCUUUCCUCAACAGGUUCAUGUGUGCCCAGCUGCCCAACCCCGUCCUGGACAGCAUCAGCAUCAUCGACACCCCCGGGAUCCUGUCUGGAGAGAAGCAGCGGAUCAGCAGAGGCUAUGACUUUGCAGCCGUCCUGGAGUGGUUCGCCGAGCGUGUGGACCGCAUCAUCCUGCUCUUCGAUGCCCACAAGCUGGACAUCUCCGAUGAGUUCUCGGAAGUGAUCAAGGCUCUGAAGAACCAUGAGGACAAGAUACGCGUGGUGCUGAACAAGGCAGACCAGAUCGAGACGCAGCAGCUGAUGCGGGUGUAUGGGGCCCUCAUGUGGUCCCUGGGCAAGAUCAUCAACACCCCCGAGGUGGUCAGGGUCUACAUCGGCUCCUUCUGGUCCCACCCGCUCCUCAUCCCCGACAACCGCAAGCUCUUCGAGGCCGAGGAGCAGGACCUCUUCAAGGACAUCCAGUCUCUGCCCCGAAAUGCCGCCCUCAGGAAGCUCAAUGACCUGAUCAAGCGGGCGCGGCUGGCCAAGGUAGACCACGGGGUGAGGGGAGCAGCCUAUUGCCAGGCAGGGCCGUGGGGCUCUGAGACUGGCACUCAGAGCUCCAGGAUUGCCGGAGACCCUUCCCAGCUCACUUCACAGGCAGACCUGCACUGCGCUGUUUCCCUCUAUAGAAACCAGUCUUUGGUCAGCACCUGCGUGCAGCCUGCUCUUAACUAAGAUUCUCUACCCGGCCUCCCUCUAAACCUGUUCUGUUUGUGGUUUAUACCCCAUCUACUUUCAAGAAGGGUUUGACUAUGCUUACAACACAGAAACAGCACACAGGAAG
rnacentral:sRNA from 1 species